rnacentral:lncRNA from 1 species
UCCCUCCCUCCCUAUUUUCUUUCUCAUAUUUCUCUCCUAUGAAAGUUGUGAAGGCAAUCUUGUCGAGCCUUCUCUAUAUCUAUAUCCUCUCUCACGGUCUUGUGAUUGCUGUGCUGCCAUCCUAUCUAGUCCUUUUCUUCUGAUCGCUAUACCUUCUAUCUAUUACCUCUCUUUUUCCACUCUCUCUUUGUCUCUCAUAUCUCUAUAUAGCCCAG